UACGUAGGGGGCUAGCGUUGUCCGGAAUCAUUGGGCGUAAAGCGCGCGUAGGCGGUCAGGUAAGUCCGGUGUGAAAGUCAAAGGCUCAACCUUUGAAUGCCGCUGGAUACUGCUUGACUUGAGUCCGGAAGGGGCGAGUGGAAUUCCUGGUGUAGCGGUGAAAUGCGCAGAUAUCAGGAGGAGCACCAAUGGCGAAGGCAGCUCGCUGGAACGGUACUGACGCUGAGGCGCGAAAGCGUGGGGAGCGAACAGG
rnacentral:rRNA from 1 species